UAUUAUUUUGUUUUUUUCAGUCUAGUUUGUAAAAGCUUUUACCCCUAGUUUCUAAGGCACAUUUUUGGAUUAUAAAUCCUGUGGGCUGCUAUUGGAGUAACUGGACCAUAUUUUAUUGGCAGAUCCAAAAAAAAAAAACAAUGGGCUGCAGCUGCACAACCUUUCUAUUUUUAUCUUAUUCUAUAAAUAUAAUCAGAUAAUGGAUAAUGCAAA
rnacentral:lncRNA from 1 species